UACGAAGGGGGCGAGCGUUAUCCGGAUUCACUGGGUUUAAAGGGUGCGUAGGUGGCUUUAUAAGUCAGUGGUGAAAUGCCGCAGCUCAACUGCGGAACUGCCAUUGAUACUGUUUAGCUUGAAUCACGUAGAGGUGGAUGGAAUAUUACAUGUAGCGGUGAAAUGCUUAGAUAUGUAAUAGAACACCGAUUGCGAAGGCAGUUCACUAGGCGUGCAUUGACACUGAGGCACGAAAGCGUGGGGAUCAAACAGG
rnacentral:rRNA from 1 species